UACGUAGGCAGCAAGCGUUGUUCGGAGUUACUGGGCGUAAAGGGUGUGUAGGCGGUUCCUUAAGUUUGCUGUGAAAUCUCCCGGCUUAACCGGGAGGGUGCGGUGAAUACUGAGGGACUAGAGUACGGGAGAGGAAAGUGGAAUUCCUGGUGUAGCGGUGAAAUGCGUAGAUAUCAGGAGGAACACCUGAGGUGAAGACGGGUUGCUGGGCCAACACUGACGCUGAGGCGCGAAAGCCAGGGGAGCAAACGGG
rnacentral:rRNA from 1 species